rnacentral:rRNA from 1 species
ACUCAAAUGAAUUGACGGGGGCCCGCACAAGCGGUGGAGCAUGUGGUUUAAUUCGAUGAUACGCGAGGAACCUUACCAGGGCUUAAAUGUAGUGGGACAGGCUUGGAAACAGGCCCUUCUUCGGACUCAUUACAAGGUGCUGCAUGGUUGUCGUCAGCUCGUGCCGUGAGGUGUCAGGUUAAGUCCUAUAACGAGCGCAACCCCUGUUGUUAGUUGCCAGCGAGUCAUGUCGGGAACUCUAACAAGACUGCCGGUGCAAACCGUGAGGAAGGUGGGGAUGACGUCAAAUCAUCACGGCCCUUACGUCCUGGGCUACACACGUGCUACAAUGGCCGGUACAGAGAGCAGCCACUGGGCGACCAGGAGCGAAUCUAUAAAACCGGUCACAGUUCGGAUUGGAGUCUGCAACCCGACUCCAUGAAGCUGGAAUCGCUAGUAAUCGGAUAUCAGCCAUGAUCCGGUGAAUACGUUCCCGGGCCUUGUACACACCGCCCGU